AUGGGAGCAGCAACGGCUCGCUCCCCCGACCCCGAGCCCGCGCCCCUCCACCAGCCCCCACCGGCGGUGGCCACCCCGGCCCAGCCGACCACCCUCUCAGCAUCUCGCGUACUCCCUCGCCCACGGCCGCGGCCCCCUGCCUGUAGGAUUCGAGUGGAGAAUGGAGGUCAGAGGGAGGUCCAGGUCAGCCGCUCGCGCUCCUCCAAGGCUGCGUCGACGACCACUCCGGCUCCGCCGCCCGCCACCCCCGCCUCCAUUGUCGGCUCCGUCUCCACUGAGCCACCGGAGCCUCGGGCGUCCCCCAACGUUGGGCUCCCCCAGCUCGAUCCAGAUCAGGCGGAUCUGGAUUCCGUCUCCCUGUCGCCUCCGGCUGGCCGGAGCCCUGCUCCUGCUGAUGUGACGGAAGUUCUGCUUGGGGCCAAGAGUGGCUGCACAGCCGUUGUUGGUGAGAAGGAGGUGGAGUUGGCUCUGCUGUUGCAUCCGGCGGCCACACAUGGCCUCGUCCCCUGUCUGCAGAUCCUGCCUUGCCCCGAUGUUGGGGAUGGGGCCGAAGUUGUUGCCUUGGUUACGCAGUCGCCGCCGGGUGAAGAUGCUGAGUUCGUGUCGUGCAUGCCGCUGACCGUCGCCGAAGGCCGCACUUCCGGCGCUGCAAUGAUGGGGGAGCUGGCGCCGCUGGCGAUGAAUGCUGCUAUGGAUUGUGUGUCGUCCGCUUCUUCCUUUUCCGUGCCGUCUUCUUGUGAUACAGCGCAGGCUGUGGAUGCUCAGCCUGGGGAAGGUCCUUGGAUUUUCAUAGGAUGA
rnacentral:rRNA from 1 species